AAACGCUAUACAGCGAACGAGAAGGCGCUAGGAGCAAAGGAAAGUGGUUUUUCUAACAAACUCAUAUAAUCAGUUGCACGACGUACUCCAAUUUGAUUUUUUUCACAUAGUUAGACAUAAUAUAGUACUAUGAAAUGUUUCUGACCCAAAAUAUUACGAAAUAUGAUUGUUUACAUUAAAAUGCAAAAGUUGAUGAAAAAGUAUGAUAAGGUGAAAAAAGUGACAUUUUAUGUCUAGAAAGUCAGUUUUCAUCAAAAGUACCAUAACAAAACUAGUUCGCAUUCAUCCUGUGUCUCUUACACACUUGUGCUCUUUAUCCGCUCAAAACGCUAUAGAGCGAACGAGAAGGCGCUAGGAGCAAAGGAAAGUGGUUUUUCUAACAAACUCAUAUAAUCAGUUGCCCGACCUACUCCAAUUUGAUUUUUUCACAUAGUUAGACAUAGUAUAGUACUAUGAAAUGUUUCUGACCCAAAAUAUUACGAAAUAUGAUUGUUUACAUUAAAA
ensembl:lncRNA